CCUACGGGUGGCAGCAGUGGGGAAUAUUGCACAAUGGGGGAAACCCUGACGCAGCGACGCCGCGUGAGUGAAGAAGUAAUUCGUUACGUAAAGCUCUAUCAGCAGGGAAGAAAGAAAUGACGGUACCUGACUAAGAAGCCCCGGCUAACUACGUGCCAGCAGCCGCGGUAAUACGUAGGGGGCAAGCGUUAUCCGGAUUUACUGGGUGUAAAGGGAGCGUAGACGGCGAUGCAAGUCUGAAGUGAAAGGCGGGGGCCCAACCCCCGGACUGCUUUGGAAACUGUAUGGCUGGAGUGCAGGAGAGGUAAGUGGAAUUCCUAGUGUAGCGGUGAAAUGCGUAGAUAUUAGGAGGAACACCAGUGGCGAAGGCGGCUUACUGGACUGUAACUGACGUUGAGGCUCGAAAGCGUGGGGAGCAAACAGGAUUAGAUACCCCUGUAGUC
rnacentral:rRNA from 1 species